GGUUAAGCGACUAAGCGUACACGGUGGAUGCCCUGGCAGUCAGAGGCGAUGAAGGACGUGCUAAUCUGCGAUAAGCGUCGGUAAGGUGAUAUGAACCGUUAUAACCGGCGAUUUCCGAAUGGGGAAACCCAGUGUGUUUCGACACACUAUCAUUAACUGAAUCCAUAGGUUAAUGAGGCGAACCGGGGGAACUGAAACAUCUAAGUACCCCGAGGAAAAGAAAUCAACCGAGAUUCCCCCAGUAGCGGCGAGCGAACGGGGAGCAGCCCAGAGCCUGAAUCAGUGUGUGUGUUAGUGGAAGCGUCUGGAAAGGCGCGCGAUACAGGGUGACAGCCCCGUACACAAAAAUGCACAUGCUGUGAGCUCGAUGAGUAGGGCGGGACACGUGGUAUCCUGUCUGAAUAUGGGGGGACCAUCCUCCAAGGCUAAAUACUCCUGACUGACCGAUAGUGAACCAGUACCGUGAGGGAAAGGCGAAAAGAACCCCGGCGAGGGGAGUGAAAAAGAACCUGAAACCGUGUACGUACAAGCAGUGGGAGCACGCUUAGGCGUGUGACUGCGUACCUUUUGUAUAAUGGGUCAGCGACUUAUAUUCUGUAGCAAGGUUAACCGAAUAGGGGAGCCGAAGGGAAACCGAGUCUUAACUGGGCGUUAAGUUGCAGGGUAUAGACCCGAAACC
rnacentral:rRNA from 1 species